CCAAAUGGCAUCAUCUUAAUCUCCUUACUUCCUGCUAUAUCAAACACCUCUUCACUCCCCAUGAAUCUCUCAGGCUUGAAUGCCAUUGGAUCCUCCCACACCUUUGGAUCCCGACCAAUCAUCUGCUACCAUGAAAUUUAUAGUCCCAUUUUUGGGCACUAAAUAGUUACCCAACAUUGCAUCUUCAGUCACUGCAUGUGGCAGCACAAAAUGCCCUGGUGG
rnacentral:misc_RNA from 1 species